rnacentral:rRNA from 1 species
UACGUAGGCAGCAAGCGUUGUUCGGAGUUACUGGGUGUAAAGGGUUCGUAGGCGGUGUGGCAAGUCGGGAGUGAAAUUUCUGGGCUCAACUCAGAGACUGCUUCCGAAACUGCUGUGCUUGAGUGUGGGAGAGGCGCGUGGAAUUGCAGGUGUAGCGGUGAAAUGCGUAGAGAUCGGGAGGAACACCAGAGGCGAAGGCGGCGACCUGGACAGGCACUGACACUCAACUACGAAAGCGUGGGGAGCAAACAGG